GAUGAACGCUGGCGGCGUGCCUAAUACAUGCAAGUCGAGCGAACGGACGAGAAGCUUGCUUCUCUGAUGUUAGCGGCGCACGGGUGAGUAACACGUGGAUAACCUACCUAUAAGACUGGGAUAACUUCGGGAAACCGGAGCUAAUACCGGAUAAUAUUUUGAACCGCAUGGUUCAAAAGUGAAAGACGGUCUUGCUGUCACUUAUAGAUGGAUCCGCGCUGCAUUAGCUAGUUGGUAAGGUAACGGCUUACCAAGGCAACGAUGCAUAGCCGACCUGAGAGGGUGAUCGGCCACACUGGAACUGAGACACGGUCCAGACUCCUACGGGAGGCAGCAGUAGGGAAUCUUCCGCAAUGGGCGAAAGCCUGACGGAACAACGCCGCGUGAGUGAUGAAGGUCUUCGGAUCGUAAAACUCUGUUAUUAGGGAAGAACAUAUGUGUAAGUAACUGUGCACAUCUUGACGGUACCUAAUCAGAAAGCCACGGCUAACUACGUG
rnacentral:rRNA from 1 species